rnacentral:rRNA from 1 species
UACAGAGGGUGCGAGCGUUGUCCGGAAUCACUGGGCGUAAAGGGCGCGUAGGUGGCGACCCAAGUCGAUGGUGAAAGCUCGCCGCUCAACGGCGAGUCGGCCACCGAUACUGGGUUGCUGGAGCACUGUAGAGGCAGAUGGAAUUCCGGGUGUAGCGGUGGAAUGCGUAGAGAUCCGGGAAGAACACCGGUGGCGAAGGCGGUCUGCUGGGCAGUUGCUGACACUGAGGCGCGGACAGCGUGGGGAGCAAACAGG